ensembl:lncRNA
GUGGAGUUCAGCCAUUAUUUUUUCAUAAAGUUGCAUCUAUCUAGACACAGUUCAUUAAAUCCUAAUCCCACGUCUGUGAAAUAAGGGAGAACCAGGCAGAGACCAUUCCGACAGUGGAUUCAAAUCCAAGAUCAGGAUUCUUUAUGUGCAAAGCAUGAAUAAGUGAAUCUGGUCUCAUAAUGGAAGGCCAACACUGUGAGCAGGCCCGAAUAUUCAGAUAGACCCGCAGGAGGACAGACACAAAUACCAGUGGCCAAGAGGGGAGAGAACAAGCCCGCUGACCAUCCUCCCAGGUUUGGCAGCUGCCUGAAAGAUAAGGGUUCCAGGCCAGGAGAAGCUGUGCCCGGAUUUGCUGAAGUCACGAAAAGAUGGCCAAAGAAUUAUGGGACUUUUGAGAAUACUACAGUUGAAUGCAUCAAAAAGGCUAAGGUAAUGGCUCCGUGCAGCUGAGUGGGAAUUUGGCUAAGUGCAGACAAGAAGACCAGGUGCCCCGGCUUCCCCAGCUUCCCCAGCUUUGAAUGGUUCCACCUCCAGGACAGAUGGAUGUGUCUGCCUGCUUUCUCCACCAAGGGCCCUUCAGGACAUUCCUCAGCUCACACAUGGAGCCUGGUGGUCCUCACCACUCACCCCCGCAUCCCCAUCUGCGUGCAGCGGACUGGGAAUCAGAUGACACACAUUUCUGCACGGUGCACAGAAAGGCCCUCUGAGAGUGGGAGGCCCGACUCGGAGGCAUCUCUUCUGGCUCUUCUGGUUGCAUGCGUGUCUUUUUCCGUUAGGCCUGAUAUUUUUACAACCGUCGGAACAAGAGUCACUGUCCCUUGGUCUGGUGAACUCAGUGACAUCAUCAAACAGAAUUUCUGGAACUUAGGCCAAAGUCACCCAGGAAGGGGAUGCCGUGUGAGGCUUUAUAGCAGCAAAUCUGGCGGCCUUUAUACAGAGACCCUCUGAGCCAACCUUGUGCCCCUCUGUUUGCAUUUCCACUGUGGGAACAGAUACCAAAACGUUCCACGAAGUCUUCCCAGCCACUCAGCCUCACCUGAAAAUGAGGGCUGGGGUGCUCUCACCUCUAACUUCUGUGAUCUGGGCCCAGAGCAGGCUAACUAGGUGCACAGUUGUGUAAGCAUGGCAGGGCAUGGCUGCUACAUGUGGCCACGUGCACAUGCGUACACACGGACCAGGUCUGCAUAAAAAAAAUACUGGCCCAGAGCAAAGACACUUCGGAUUCUGGUCAGAAACCUGGCAUUAACUGUUGCUUCAGCUCUGCAAGCCGCAACCUCUUUUCUUGCAUGAGAAGUUUGCACCAGGGUCCACCCUAGUUCACUUGGCAUUAGAGGAUGGUCAUGCAGCCUCUGUCUCCAUGCUGCUCGAAGAUUUGUUUUUCAGACUUUCGUGGGCUCUUCUCCUGCUACGCUAGGAAGCCCUGCCCCUCCACACAAAGAGAGAUGUCAUUGUAUGUUCUCAUUCAUUUGGGGAAUAUAAAUAAUAGUGAAAGGGAAUAUAAGGGAAGGGAGAAGAAAUGUGUGGGAAAUAUCAGGAAGGGAGACAGAACAUGAGAGACUCCUAACUCUGGGAAACGAACUAGGGGUGGU